AUUGAAGAUACGGAUUAGGAAGAGGUGAGGGAGGCUUCGGAGUGCUGAAAUCCUUCCUGCCAUACCUGGGCCUGAGUGCUGGCUAAAGUGUUUUUCACAUGAACCUGAAGAUUGUGUUUGCACUACAAGAAUAAGUGUACGUGUGCAUGCCUGUGUGAGUGUGCAUACUGCACUCAGAGGACAACUUGGAAGAGUCAGUUCUUCCCCUCCACCAUAUAGACGUCUGAGGUUGAACUCCUGUCACCAUGUUUGCUGACGAGUGCCUUCACUGACCAAAUCCUCUUGUUGUCGCCUGCACAGAUGUCUCUCCUUCUUAUUAAAGAUUUAUUUAUUUAUUUUA